CGAGACAAUAAGGAAGCGAUUGAAAGUUUUCGUGGAGUCAACUCUCCCUACAAUUGAAUACUAUGAAUCAAAGGGGAAAAUUAGGAAGGUUGAUGCUGGAAAAUCUAUUGAUGAGGUUUUUGAAUCCAUCAAAGUUAUUUUCUCACCAGGAAAAGAUAACAAGAUGCCACCAAGUAAACACAAGUGCAAAUGCUUGAUACUUUGAAUGGAUGAUUGUCUUCAAAGCUUGGUAAUUCACAAAUAUUUUUACUAAUGCGCGAGAUUUACCUUAUAGAUACUAUCCGUGUGUUUGAACUUGUUGCAAUAAGUCAUGUCGUGGCUAUGAAUCCAUUAUUAUUGACGGCUGGAGGCCAAUCGUCUUUCUGGGGAUUUGAUUGUGUGGAAAACUAUAUCGCAAGUGUAUAUAAGCUAAACUAUGUAUCGUAUGAUAUCUACAUGUUUCUUGUUAAUGAAUGAAAUGCAAAGGCAUAGUGUGUUGUGAAUUUAAG
rnacentral:misc_RNA from 1 species